rnacentral:tRNA from 1 species
AUUUAAGUAGUUUAUUUAAAAUAUUAAUUUGUGGAAUUAGUGAAAUGAUUAUUUCAUCUUAAAUA